rnacentral:SRP_RNA from 1 species
CCGUGCUAGAUGGGGAGGUAGCGGUGCCCUAUAACCUGCAAUCCGCUACAGCAGGAUUGAAUUCCCAGUCUAGGGAUUUCUAUUGUGAGGUCUGCCCUGAACAAGUGGCGUUGACGGUUGGGUCCUGCGCAACGGAAACUCAUGAACCUCGUCAGGUCCGGAAGGAAGCAGCGAUAAGUGAACAUUUCCGUGUGCCGCAGGGAAGCCUGACCCGAGCUAACUACUUAGGUAACGCUUGGAAUGGAAUUUCGAAGCUGGGUGCACGG